rnacentral:piRNA from 1 species
UAAAUGCCAAAAGAUGAAAGAAAGAU